rnacentral:rRNA from 1 species
GAUGAACGCUGGCGGCGUGCCUAAUACAUGCAAGUCGAGCGAACAGAUAAGGAGCUUGCUCCUUUGACGUUAGCGGCGGACGGGUGAGUAACACGUGGAUAACCUACCUAUAAGACUGGGAUAACUUCGGGAAACCGGAGCUAAUACCGGAUAACAUAUUGAACCGCAUGGUUCAAUAGUGAAAGGCGGCUUUGCUGUCACUUAUAGAUGGAUCCGCGCCGUAUUAGCUAGUUGGUAAGGUAACGGCUUACCAAGGCAACGAUACGUAGCCGACCUGAGAGGGUGAUCGGCCACACUGGAACUGAGACACGGUCCAGACUCCUACGGGAGGCAGCAGUAGGGAAUCUUCCGCAAUGGGCGAAAGCCUGACGGAGCAACGCCGCGUGAGUGAUGAAGGUCUUCGAUCGUAAAACUCUGUUAUCAGGGAAGAACAAAUGUGUAAGUAACUGUGCACAUCUUGACGGUACCUGAUCAGAAAGCCACGGCUAACUACGUG